GAGCUCAGCGAGAAGCAGAAGGCAGAGCUGGAGCAGAGCCUGCACCGUGUGAAAAGCCAGGAGCGUGAGCUGGGUGUGCUCAGGGGGAAACUGUCGGGGAUGUCAGACCUCGUGGCGAAGAAGGAUCGAGAGCUGCAAGCAGCAGCUGCAGAGUUAAGGAAAGUCCAAGAAGACUGCAGAGCCCUCAAGGAUGCAUCUCGACGAAUGGCAGAAGAGCUGGAGAUGCUUCCGCAGGCACAGGCUAUUUCUGCCACACCAGAGGAAUCUUCUGAGCAGAGAACUGAAUAAAUCAAAGGUGGUUCCAGCAGCAGAUGGAGGGACUGCAGAAAUGGUACAGCCUGUACCGCAACAGCGGCAGACGUGGUGCCAGCUGGAAGGGUUCGUGUUGGCCAAGCGGUGACUCAUGGCUAGAUGGGAGCAGGAGGCAUCGCCUUCCUCCUUCUCAGCAAGAGGUGGUGAGAAACACGAAGCUAGAAAUCCUCCAGAGGAGAAUAAAUUGCCACUGCAGCGUGAAGAUGGAGCUGGCAUUGGAUCUGGCCAACCUGGGUGUGAGAUGCAGAGGCCUCAGGCAUGAGGAGACAAUCCAACGGCAAAAAGAAGGCUUGGCAGAGCUCAGGGAGAGGAUCAAGGUGCUGGAGAAGACACAGGCCUCUGCUGUACUGGGCAGGGCCAGCGAGCUGCUCAUGGUACAGAAGGCAGCCCUACCAGAGAAGGUUGCCCAGAAAGCAGGACUCCAGGUGGAACCAGCUCCACUGCCAGGUGCAGAAUUCAAGU
rnacentral:lncRNA from 1 species